rnacentral:lncRNA from 1 species
GAAAUUUCAAGGUUGAGAUUGUUGUCAAAAUUUUAGAAGUAGUUUGUUGCGGGUAAUCAACUUGAGAUCUGACGGUCUAGGGUUUAAGGUUAAAGUGUUGAGAGACCAUGAUAAAAUCGAGUUGCUAAACAUUCCAAUCGCACCAAAAGAAAGCAUGAUGGAGCUGCAGCCACUCGAAGUAACUUGGCUUACACUUCGAAGCUAACCCCAGCUUUCCCGGUGCACCAAGCAGGCCCCGACUCCAAAUGCAAGGAUUUCGACACAUUUCCAAACGUGGACUAUCUGCGCAAAUUUAGGAUAAUCGUCCACAAACGAAGGUCAAGGAAGGCGUGGAAAGAUCCUGAACUGUAUCCGACGCGGCAUCGCAAUCCACCUGAGCUCCUUCCUCACUUACGAAGGGCGAUCUGAUGAAAGCCUUCAAACGACGGAACACAGUGCCCUCAAGUAGGCUGCUUUGAACGCAGCAACUAAAAGAUUUCCUUUCAGUCUCCAGUACUUUGUUCCCCUCCCAUCGCCCUAACAACACCCAGUACUUCCGCAAGAUUGACCUGCUGCAAACGCAUUUACGCAGCCCCGUUGAAUCAUAAACCCUAAUUUUCGCAAGGUGAGGGUUCCCAGCCCAAAGCGGAUCUCACCACCCAAAAAUUGACAGACAGGGAAUUCACCUCCGAGCCUGACUAACUCUGAGGUCCGGUCCAGACCUAGGAGUGCUCCGGAACCGAACCUGAGAUUGGUUCGGGAGCCAUAAGUGGGAAGAAGGAGAAAAAAAGUUGAAGUGAGCUUUCACAUUGAAGGCCAAAAGAGGGGAUGUGAUGUGAAGAAGCCCCAUCCUCAUGGGGAAGGGACCAUACUGAAUGGGGCUUCAAUGCCAGCAUGGCACCAGAAGCCUCAUAGGCUUGCAAUGGAACCAACCCAGCACAGGGUCCAGUACCUUCCGGAAGGACUUGUCCCUGU